CCGCGACCUGUUAAACAAAAAUAGGUCAAUUUAUAUAUAGAACUAGUGUAUUCAUUUGAUAUCGGAUAUAGUUCUGGGUUUCACCAACUGCAGGCAUGGAUUCACAUAUUGUACUGGUGACCGGUGGCAGCGGUUUCCUUGGUCAGCAUGUUGUCAAACAUUUAGAUAUGUUUUGUGAUGAUAUCACGGAAAUAAGAGUCUUAGACAUCAGACAGUAUAAAAAGAAUUUGGAUUUUAAAGACAGAAAGCCAGUUACAUCAAUUAUAGGAAAUCUUACAGACCCGGAUGUAGUCAGGAAAGCUUGUAAAAAUGUUAAAUGUGUCUUCCAUAUUGCUGCGUUGGUGGAAUAUAAGUUGUUUCCAGAUACCACAGCAUUGAAUGAGAUAAAUAUUC